rnacentral:rRNA from 1 species
UGGGGAAUAUUGGACAAUGGGCGAAAGCCUGAUCCAGCCAUGCCGCGUGAGUGACGAAGGCCUUAGGGUUGUAAAACUCCUUUCGUCGGGGACGAUAAUGACGGUACCCGAAGAAGAAGCUCCGGCUAACUUCGUGCCAGCAGCCGCGGUAAUACGAAGGGAGCUAGCGUUGUUCGGAAUCACUGGGCGUAAAGCGCACGUAGGCGGAUAGUUAAGUCAGGGGUGAAAUCCUGGGGCUCAACCCCAGAACUGCCUUUGAUACUGGCUGUCUCGAGGUCGAGAGAGGUUGGUGGAAUUCCUAGUGUAGAGGUGAAAUUCGUAGAUAUUAGGAAGAACACCAGUGGCGAAGGCGGCCAACUGGCUCGAUACUGACGCUGAGGUGCGAAAGCGUGGGGAGCAAACAGGAUUAGAUACCCAGGUAGUCCCUGAGCGGGCUGGCAAGGCGCAU